AGGAUUCUGCCAUUUUUAUAUACAUUUUCAUUUCUGAAUUUAUAUGUUUAAACCAAGUAUUGGUGAGUGUCUGGUGAUGUCAAAUCAAUAAGGCAUUAUCAUACUAAUAACCAUAACAAAAAAAAAUAAUAAAAAGAAUAAUGAGUAGCAAAUAAAGAGCCUUCAAGUUUCUAAAAAGGCUUUUACUUAAGAAGUGUUGG
rnacentral:lncRNA from 1 species